AAACCAACAGGGAUUGCCUCAGUAACGGCGAGUGAAGCGGCAACAGCUCAAAUUUGAAAUCUGGCCCUAGGCCCGAGUUGUAAUUUGCAGAGGAUGCUUUUGGUGCGGUGCCUUCCAAGUUCCCUAGAACGGGACGCCAGAGAGGGUGAGAGCCCCGUACAGUUGGACACCAAGCCUUUGUAAAGCUCCUUCGACGAGUCGAGUAGUUUGGGAAUGCUGCUCAAAAUGGGAGGUAUAUUUCUUCUAAAGCUAAAUACCGGCCAGAGACCGAUAGCGCACAAGUAGAGUGAUCGAAAGAUGAAAAGCACUUUGAAAAGAGGGUUAAACAGCACGUGAAAUUGUUAAAAGGGAAGCGCUUGUGACCAGACUUGCGUCCGGUGAAUCACCCAGCUCUCGCGGCUGGGGCACUUCGCCGGCUCAGGCCAGCAUCAGCUCGCUGUCGGGGACAAAAGCUUCGGGAACGUAGCUCUCUUCGGGGAGUGUUAUAGCCUGUUGCACAAUACCCUUCGGCGGGCUGAGGUACGCGCUCCGCAAGGAUGCUGGCAUAACGGUCAUCAGCGAC
rnacentral:rRNA from 1 species